rnacentral:rRNA from 1 species
GGUUUUUUUAAUUCAAAAUGUAAAAGCCCGGGGCUCAACCUUGGGAAUUGCAUUUGAAACUGGCAAACUAGAGUACUGUAGGGGGGGGGGUAGAAUUUCAGGUGUAGCGGUGAAAUGCGUAGAGAUUUGAAGGAAUACCGGUGGGGAAGGCGGCCCCCUGGACAGAUACUGACACUCAGAUGCGAAAGCGUGGGGAGCAAACAGGAUUAGAUACCCUGGUAGUCCACGCCGUAAACGAUGUCUACUUGGAGGUUGUGGCCUUGAGCCGUGGCUUUCGGAGCUAACGCGUUAAGUAGACCGCCUGGGGAGUACGGUCGCAAGAUUAAAACUCAAAUGAAUUGACGGGGGCCCGCACAAGCGGUGGAGCAUGUGGUUUAAUUCGAUGCAACGCGAAGAACCUUACCUACUCUUGACAUCUACAGAAGCCAGCGGAGACGCAGGUGUGCCUUCGGGAACUGUAAGACAGGUGCUGCAUGGCUGUCGUCAGCUCGUGUUGUGAAAUGUUGGGUUAAGUCCCGCAACGAGCGCAACCCUUAUCCUUGUUUGCCAGCACUUCGGGUGGGAACUCCAGGGAGACUGCCGGUGAUAAACCGGAGGAAGGUGGGGACGACGUCAAGUCAUCAUGGCCCUUACGAGUAGGGCUACACACGUGCUACAAUGGCGCAUACAGAGGGCGGCCAACUUGCGAAAGUGAGCGAAUCCCAAAAAGUGCGUCGUAGUCCGGAUUGGAGUCUGCAACUCGACUCCAUGAAGUCGGAAUCGCUAGUAAUCGUGGAUCAGAAUGCCACGGUGAAUACGUUCCCGGGCCUUGUACACACCGCCCGUCACACCAUGGGAGUGGGCUGCAAAAGAAGUGGGUAGUUUAACCUUCGGGAGGACGCUCACCACUUUGUGGUUCAUGACUGGGGUGAAGUCGUAACAAGGUAACCG